CCUACGGGAGGCUGCAGUGGGGAAUAUUGCACAAUGGGGGAAACCCUGAUGCAGCGACGCCGCGUGAGUGAAGAAGUAAUUCGUUUUGUAAAGCUCUAUCAGCAGGGAAGAAAAUGACGGUACCUGAGUAAGAAGCCCCGGCUAACUACGUGCCAGCAGCCGCGGUAAUACGUAGGGGGCAAGCGUUAUCCGGAUUUACUGGGUGUAAAGGGAGCGUAGACGGCAGUGCAAGUCUGGAGUGAAAGGCGGGGGCGCAACCCCCGGACUGCUCUUGAAACUGUACGGCUGGAGUGCAGGAGAGGUAAGUGGAAUUCCUAGUGUAGCGGUGAAAUGCGUAGAUAUUAGGAGGAACACCAGUGGCGAAGGCGGCUUACUGGACUGUAACUGACGUUGAGGCUCGAAAGCGUGGGGAGCAAACAGGAUUAAAUACCCCUGUAGUC
rnacentral:rRNA from 1 species